UAAAAUCUGAGGACGGAACAGGCGGCCGUCGCCAGAAAACCACAUGGUUUGAGUAGGAGAUGUGGGAAUGUCACCCCACCUAUUUUA
rnacentral:ncRNA from 1 species